UACGUAGGGUGCGAGCGUUAAUCGGAAUUACUGGGCGUAAAGCGUGCGCAGGCGGUUUUGUAAGCCAGAUGUGAAAUCCCCGGGCUUAACCUGGGAAUGGCAUUUGGGACUGCAAGGCUUGAGUGCGGCAGAGGAGACUGGAAUUCCUGGUGUAGCAGUGAAAUGCGUAGAUAUCAGGAGGAACACCGGUGGUGUAGACGGCUCUCUGGACCGUAGCUGACGCUGAGACACGAAAGCGUGGGUAGCAAACAGG
rnacentral:rRNA from 1 species